UCUAAGAAGGAGAAAUAUACCAGAAUGAAGAUUGCAACAGCUAUCAAUGCCAUCCUUUUGGCCUUCUAACCAAUGGAGCUUUCCAGGAAGUGGUUGAGAAGAAAGAAAAUAAGGAACACACCGCAAAAUUGCGAAAACGGAUGGGGACGUCUCGAGAUUUGAGUAUUACGACAGUAUUUUAUAUUUUGCAAGAAGCAACUCCUCGUAUUUCCCCGCUUCCCUCUUUAUCGCUCUUCUUGUACAGAGAACAAAAAGAUCUAUAUUAUAUUAUAUAUAUAUUAAUAUUAUAUGAUCAUAAUCUAUAUUUUCGGGGGGUUUUGUACAUAAGCGACUCCAAAGAUCCCUUUUGUGUUGCUGUUGUCAUUUUCUUUUGAGGACUCGAGGAAGGUUGCGCUCGUGGCGACGAUUCCGACGUCCUUUGCACAAUUUAUUUAUGGUAUUUAAACGUGUAUAAUUUUGUGUAUUUGUGUUUAUUUUGUUGUAACGGCGGCUUCUUCUUUCUCGACCUUGCUCUCAUUUCUUAUUUAUUCCAUCUGUCCAAAGCUUUGGUGUAUUUUUUAGAGGAAAAUAAAGGGGUUUUCACGGA